rnacentral:tRNA from 1 species
GGCGGCAUAGCCAAGUGGAAAGGCAGCGGUCUGCAAAACCGUUACUCUCCGGUUCGAAUCCGGAUGCCGCCU